rnacentral:rRNA from 1 species
CGUUAGCGGCGGACGGGUGAGCAACACGUGGGUAACCUACCUAUAAGACUGGGAUAACUUCGGGAAACCGGAGCUAAUACCGGAUAAUAUUUCGAACCGCAUGGUUCGAUAGUGAAAGAUGGUUUUGCUAUCACUUAUAGAUGGACCCGCGCCGUAUUAGCUAGUUGGUAAGGUAACGGCUUACCAAGGCGACGAUACGUAGCCGACCUGAGAGGGUGAUCGGCCACACUGGAACUGAGACACGGCCCAGACUCCUACGGGAGGCAGCAGCG